GCUUUCAUGGCCAAGUUGGUAAGGCGCCACACUAGUAAUGUGGAGAUCAUCAGUUCGAAUCUGGUUGAAAGCA
rfam:Tetrapisispora blattae CBS 6284 chromosome 2, complete genome